CGCGUUCUGCGCCGGUAGCGCCUGCCCCUGCUAAUGCCACCACUUGCAACGCCUGCCCGCAUCGCCCGCCGCAACACGCACGCCCUUGCUCGCGCUAGCUGCCAAACUAGCGAAACUGCCCGGUCGCGCGCCCUUGACUGCCGCACCACGCGUCCCGAUCUAGACGCCGAAAACCACCGACCCCAGCCGUGCAAGCCCUAGCGCCGAGCCCCUAUAAGACCAUCCGUAGCCGCCGUUUCCCCCGAACCCUAGAUCACUCGAGGAUUUUUCCCCAAUCCGCCGCUGCCGCUAGAAAAAUAGAGGAAAGGAGGGAGAAGAAAAGAAGGGGAAGAGAAGCAGAGCAAGAGGAGGAGCUCAGAGCCGAGGAAGGAGAAGAGGAGGAAAGGAGAGGAAGAGAAGGGGGGAGGAGGAGCUCGACGCUGCCGCCAUGUCGAGGGGAGAAGCCGAGGAGGAGGAAUCGACACUGGAGCCUGAUGCCAGUGCCACCCGAGCUGAGGACGCCAUCGCCGGACUUCAUCAAGCCGGCGCCCGUACGACUCCGUCAACGAACCAGUGCAGCACUGCAUGGCCACGCCCCCGCCUGCGUCAACUCGCCACGGCACCGAGCACCACAUCUCCGAGCCCGGCCGGCCCCUAGCGAUGAAGAGUUGAUCGACGCCCCUGACGCCCGGAAGACCCAGGAGGACGUCCCGGACUAUGAGAAGCCCCUGGAGACCUAGAACAACUACGACGAGACGCCAGUUUGGAAGAUGCAGGAUCCGACUCGAAGAUCAACGACGACAUUGACGGAGGAAUUAAGGACGGCCCGUGCUUCGCUCAAGUUUGCCUGUGGAGGAAAGACAUCAAGAUGGAGGAUGCCCAGAAGUCUAGCUACCGCUUCCGUUUUCUAUUUGUCUCCUUUAGCCCGAGGGGCUUGUACCAGGAAAACUCGUACUACAAUCCACUAGAUUAUAUAAUAUUU